GACGAACGCUGGCGGCGUGCUUAACACAUGCAAGUCGAACGGGCCUUGUCCCCUUUUUUUUUGGGGGUGGGGUUAGUGGCGAACGGGUGAGUAACACGUGAGUAACCUGCCCCUCACUUCUGGAUAACCGCUUGAAAGGGUGGCUAAUACGGGGUGUUCUGGCCUGCUCGCAUGGGUGGGUUUGGAAAGAUUCGACCGGUUUUGGUUGUUUUGGUGGGGGAUGGGCUCGCGGCCUAUCAGCUUGUUGGUGGGGUGAUGGCCUGCCAAGGCUUUGACGGGUAGCUGGCCUGAGAGGGUGGGCGGUCACACUGGGACUGAGACACGGCCCAGACUCCUACGGGAGGCAGCAGUGGGGAAUAUUGCACAAUGGGCGCAAGCCUGAUGCAGCGACGCCGCGUGAGGGAUGGAGGCCUUCGGGUUGUGAACCUCUUUCGCCAGUGAAGAAGGUCCUGCUCUUUGUGGUGGGGUUGACGGUAGCUGGGUUAAUGAAGCGCCGGCUAACUACGUG
rnacentral:rRNA from 1 species